rnacentral:rRNA from 1 species
GAGGGAAAGGCGAAAAGAACCCCGGCGAGGGGAGUGAAAAAGAACCUGAAACCGUGUACGUACAAGCAGUGGGAGCCCCACCACUAAGCCAGUGGUGAACUCCACAUACGCAUCCUUUGCUGAGGAUACGGUUAACGGAGCGAAAGCGACGUUCAACCGCAAAAGAAGCAGAGGGGGCUUAGUGGUGGGGUGACUGCGUACCUUUUGUAUAAUGGGUCAGCGACUUAUAUUCUGUAGCAAGGUUAACCGUAUAGGGGAGCCGGAGGGAAACCGAGUCUUAAUUGGGCGUUAAGUUGCAGGGUAUAGACCCGAAACC